CGAUCCAUAAUUGAGCAACCCAUAUUUUGUAAAAUAAAUUGAGCAAAAGAGAUUAGGUGAUUCAUAGUAAGAUUAAACCGACAAACCGGUUUCGUUUUCCAGGUUUAUACUUUUAUUAGUUUACUAGGUUCUGACCCGCGCUACAACGCCGGGGAAAAGUGCUGAUUUUGUUUUUAUUUUUUCAUUUUUUGAAAAUGUUGCAUGAUUAAUUUUUUUUUGGGUCGAAUUCUAGUAUUUUAAUUGUGUUCGAUUUUCCUUACUGAAUGAAGACGCAUAUUCGAGAUUUUAGUGUUAACACUAAAUUUUAUAAAAUACGGUAGCUUAAGUAGACCGCUGUGUUAAACAAACAAUAAUAA
rnacentral:lncRNA from 1 species